rnacentral:tRNA from 1 species
GUGGCUAUGGUGUAACGGCAGCACGAGAGACUGUGGCUCUCUUUGUACGGGUUCAAAUCCCGUUAGCCACCCCA